rnacentral:rRNA from 1 species
GGGGGCUUACACAUGCAGUCGAACGCCGUAGCAAUACGGGAGUGGCAGACGGGAGAGUAACACGUUGGGAACGUGCCCUUCAGUUCGGAACAACCCAGGGAAACUUGGGCUAAUACCGGAUACGUCCGAAAGGAGGAAGAUUUAUCGCUGAAGGAUCGGCCGCGUCUGAUUAGCUAGUUGGUGAGGUAACGGCCACCAAGGCUACGAUCAGUAGCUGGUCUGAGAGGAUGAUCAGCCUCAUUGGGACUGAGACACGGCCCAAACUCCUACGGGAGGCAGCAGUGGGGAAUCUUGGACAAUGGGCGCAAGCCUGAUCCAGCCAUGCCGCGUGGGUGAUGAAGGCCCUAGGGUUGUAAAGCCCUUUCGGCGGGGAAGAUAAUGACGGUACCCGCAGAAGAAGCCCCGGCUAACUUCGUGCCAGCAGCCGCGGUAAUACGAAGGGGGCUAGCGUUGCUCGGAAUCACUGGGCGUAAAGCGCACGUAGGCGGCUUUUUAAGUCAGGGGUGAAAUCCUGGAGCUCAACUCCAGAACUGCCUUUGAUACUGAAGAGCUUGAGUUCGGGAGAGGUGAGUGGAACUGCGAGUGUAGAGGUGAAAUUCGUAGAUAUUCGCAAGAACACCAGUGGCGAAGGCGGCUCACUGGCCCGAUACUGACGCUGAGUGUGGCGAAAGCGGUGGGGAGCAAACAGGAUUAGGAUUACCCUGGGGUAGUCCACGGCCGUAAACGAUGGAUGCUAAGC